rnacentral:tRNA from 1 species
UGAGCUGUAGCUAAAUUUAAGUGCUUCAUUUACACUGAAGUGAUUGCCUAGUGGCACUGCUUAA